ensembl:lncRNA
AUAUAUAUGCAUGUGCACAUAGCAAAUGUUUAUUUUAUUAUCUUUGUCCAGCCGUGUUGUCCUUUAUAUUAGCUGUAUUUCAAUUUCAGUGUACACAGAAUGCAAAACAAAAGAAAUCCUACACAAAAUGACCAAUAAAGGUGAUUCAAUCUUGUGCCCUAUUGUGGGCAUCUGAAAUAUAAUAAAAAUAAAAUAAUCACUUUAUUUUCGCAAUAAUUUAAUUCAUAAUGUAAGUAUUAGAGCAUGGCUCGUUCAUUGCAAUUCAACAAGGCUACAUAAAUAAUGGAAAUAACCUCAAGAUGUCACAUAACAGCAAUUGUUGUUGCUAGGCAACAGUGGCUGGUUAGAAAUGGCACACAUGAAGAUGAAAACUAAUUUGUGGUUUGAGACCAGCUUUAUAUUGACAAACAACUUUAUUGUAGCCAAUGGAGCAGAGCCGUAUACUCUGUAGGCCUCUAGUCCAGCAAGAGGAACACCUGAGCACAGCAAGGAACCGUUUAAUGAUUUUUCUGUUUACUGAAGUUUAGAUGAAUGCCCACGAACCAUGGAUGCAAAUUAAGAAUGAGACCACUGAUUAACCGCAACUGACACAACGACGAAAGAUAAGCACAGUCCUUUAACGAUACACGUCAACCACAGCAAUACACUUUGUAGAUUCGUUCCUAACACGCUUUCUAACAAGUCUCGUCAGUCAACCUUAAAUGACAUUGAUAACAUUUUCUGUACAUAAAAGUACAAAUGGAGAAUAUGAUAUGGUUCACUUUCAUUGGUUUUUACUUCAUGAUGACCAAUUGGCUGAACCUGCUUCUGCAGAUUAGACCCAGGAUGUGAACACUGAAUUGUCGUCUGUGUGGAUCUGUAUGAGAUUUACAGAGACACCAAACAACACAGACCAAGUGAGAAUCAUAUUUUUGUUGAACAGGUUCAAGCUAAAGCAGUUUAUUAGAUAUUGGGAAAGACUUGUAAUUAGCUGUCUAAUGUUUAAAUAGAACAAUAUACUAUAAUUAUUUUUUCAGAUUAUACCAAAGAGCACAAGGACAUUUUGCUUGGAGCUAUUGACUUCUACAUACUGAUUUCUACCUACUGUGAUCAGAAACUCUCCCUUUGCACACGACCACCGAUGGAUUACCAGUCGGAUUGCUUACAGUUCAACCGUGGAGGUCAUUGUGUGAUUCUCAAAGGUUCUAAGUGAUAAAGUAAGAUACUGUGUCUUGCCUUCAGGUGCAUUCCACGAAAAGUAACCAUUCACCUGUACAUUUUCUAUACUAGUUCCCAUUAAAACAUCAAAUGCUGUCCAGUCUGACUUACUUUGGUGAUGCCUGAUGAAACUUGAAGCCAAAUCAGACGUUCGAAGUGACCACAUGUCCCACCGCUAACCUGGUAGACCUGUCCUAUUACACCAAUGCCAUGUUCUUAUUUUCAUCAACCACAUACACUUCUAGAAUAUAAUCAUACAUUGCAUGCAUAUAUAAGGCUGAAUUUAAGAUUUUAAAAACUGUCAAAAUUUAAACUAGUAAGAUCAUCCCCGCUGCAUUGUCAUUUUCACCUUCAGCGUCUUUGCUGGAGAGACAACAGACAUCCCACAAUUUCAUUUCUGUUAAUUGAAAAAAUUGAAGUGGAGCAACAAGAGUUUUUCAUCAUGAUGUUGCGAAGAACCAGCUGCCAGCUGCAUUGCAAGUCUGUAAUGCAAUCAGCUGCUUUGUGGAGACAGCUAAUAUCCCUCGAUUGGUCAAAACAUGCAUCCUUUUUCUCAGACGGCAUGAUGCGCCAACCAUCCCCCCCAUGCAUUCAAUCUCUGGUAGGUUUUUAUAUGCACUAUGUAAAUAUGUGUUGUUCAUUACGGAGACAGCAACAGAGAGGAGAACAGCUCUUAACGUUAAACCGCACCAACGCCAUUGGUUUACGGAAACGGUGGCCCCGCCCCCAAUCAGCUUAUUGCGCACCCAGAGACUCCCCAGUAGUCCUGACUGAAUUUACACCUAAGCUUCACAUAACUGUUGGAAGAUCAGAAGUGAAUUUUUGACAUUAGGAUUGUCUUGAAGGAAAAUGAAAAUGCAAUGUGAGGUAAUGUCUUUCAGGCAGUGUUUUAAGUUGAUAAACCUAUCAAAGACUUAAAAUCCCAUUGCAGAUGUAAUUAUGUGUGUGUGUGUGUGUGUGUGUGUGUGUGUGUGUGUGUGUGUGUGUGUGUGUGUGUGUGUGUGUGUGUGAUAGUCUGCAGACAAAAUUAUGAAUAACAUAUAUGGCAUACUUUUAAGUGGUGUUUACUACAAAAAACACAAUUUACUUUGUUCCUUUCUCAGGAAGAAGCAUUUGUUGGGGCAGUAUAUAAUUGAGUCUAGCGGUGCAUGGACUUUCUACAGCUCCAAUCUGUCUAAGCACAGCUAUUGCUUUCUCUGCAGGACCUGACUUUCUUUUGACGACUGCCUCACAACAGUCGCAAAAUGUGAGAGAUCUCGAUGAAAGCAGAAUGUAAUUAUUAGUGUGGUCGUUUUAGGAUGGGGGCAGGAUCUUUACACGGUUCAGCAAACAACACGCUCUUACUUUCAAGGGCAAUUAUUUCAACCCCCCAGUCAGGCCCCGUCCUACCCUGAAUGUAUGGAUGGAUUGGAAUUUGACUGUUGUACAAGUUAUCCAACAAUCUAAUUAUACAUACAACCUAUUGUUAUACUGUAGAUAUUCCUUUUCCUGCAGCAAUAUUAAUACAAUAUUUAGAGCAGAAUACAUGCAAGAACAUAUGUGAUAUGUUCACCUUUUUUAUUUCUGCUAAACUAUAAAGAAAUCAUUUCUAGGAAUUAUCUUGAGGACUGAGGAUGGAAACAUUUCUCCAACUUCAUGUUUUCUGAUUGUAAAGGAUUUUUAGUGUAUUUCUUUGCUGGUAAAUGGAUAUUUUUCCGACCUGAGAGCUGUUCUUUGAUGCCUGUGGCUCAUCCAGACUUUUGACAUUCCAAUUCAACUACUUACACAUUGGUGCACAAAUACCUGGAAAUCCUAGGUUUAGGAGAAAACUGAAACUAACAAGAUGUACCGAUAACUAUAACACGCUUCUCAAUAAAGAAGAUUGCCGUCCUUUAAACCGUAGAUCAACUUGGAAGUGAAUCCCCCCGUGGUUUUCAGACUUUGUUUUUUAGUAGUGUCUAAUUAAUGAGGUUAAUACAAUGAUGGGUUGAUGGAUUUGCUAAUAAUUUGAGGAAAUGGGGAGGUAAGAGAAGCAAGAUGAUAUGCUAAUGAUGUAUUUGUGCUGUUAGAUAAAUGAGACCAGCUGAUCUAAUCAGUUGAUGUUAUGAUUGACAGCCCCAAACAAUGACAAUGGCGCACUAGCCUAGGCAUACAAUAGUAUAGUCUUCCAGACUGAACUCAAACUAGAGGUUCAUGAAAUCGUGGACCGUGGGAACCACCAUGAACUUCUGCACCUCAACGAACCCGUUUGGUUGUAAAAGAGCAGUCUUAUCGCUACCGCUGAGCAACUCUAAUAAUAAAUGUGAUCUUGCGGUUUCCUGUAUCAGCAAUUUUCUUCUUUUGUUCACUACCCAAAGCCUAUGACCAUAUGUGAGGGUCAGAACAGAGAUGUUCAAGUAAAUGGAGAGCGUUGCCUUCCAACUCAGCGCCCUCUUCAUCAACGGUCCGCUGCAAUGCAUGGCAUUACUUCAUAAGGAACACAGGACAGCCUCCACUUUACCCUCACUUGUGCAAACCCCGAUACACUUAGACUCCUUUGCUUGGGGCAGUCACACUGAAUACACUAUUAGUAAUACUUAAAAUAGCUCUGUAGAAGAAGAACUCGUUUGGAUAGGAACUUAAGACAGACAGCAAAAGGACAACGCUGAGGAAAUGAUUUCGAUGCACCCAAUAUCCAGACAGAUUGCUUAAUCAACCCUUGCACCAAAACAAAGCAUGAUCACAAUCACUUUAAUAGGAGACAUUAUAAUUUAACCGCCCAAACCAAACAGCCUAAAACAAACUCCUGCCGCAGGUUCCUCAUCUGUGAGUAAUGACUCAACUUUAGCAAGAUCGAUUCUUUAGCUUCUUUUAUUCAACAGUAUAUACAUAAUAGCAAAAACGUGAAGACACUGCCAUUGCAUCAGGAAAGUAAACACAUUGUCGGACUAAACUGAACUAAAUCAUUAUUCUUUUAUUCAAAAAAAUGAAUUUCUGCCCCCACAAGAUUAAUGAUACAUUAAUAUUGUCCCUCGUCUAUUGAAGAAAACCACCUUGAAACUACUUUGGUGGACUCUGGAGUAUGUGCAGCCAUACUUUAUACCUUAAUCAUUUUUAUUUACAUGUACUUUAGAUUUGUUACCUAAAGUAGAUGUAAGGAAGCACAAGUAAGAAGAAAACAUCUGAAUCGGUCCAUCCAUAUCCUCACUUUUUUUGAUGAUUGUCACAAUGGCAGCAGUGAGAGCAGGGAAGCCAAAGCUGCUUUUAUCCCAGCAGCUUGUUUCUUGCUCCUGGAGAGGAGCUUUUCCAGGUCAGCUGAAAUAUGAAUUCCUCACAGUGCGCUCUCCACCAUAACUGCCCCUGCUGUAAAUCAGUUGCGCCUUUGUAACGAUGUGUUUACAGGACGCACAGUGCACAUCAAAGGCAAAGCUCUAUUCAACACAAAAUGAUAAUAUCAGCUAACAGGGAUACCAUCCUAAUUUUACCAAACUUGACAAUGUCUAAACCUUUGUAGUCAUUUGAUAUCUCAUCCAUGAAAGUCAGAACCAAGAAAAGUGGAAGCCUUGGGAGAGCCCACUGUCUACAGUCAAAGUUUGUAUUAAUAGGGUUUUCAAUGGUUUCAAAGAAUCAAGGGGCAUAUAAACAAACUUAUAAACAUUUUUCCAUGUAUGAAAAAUAGAGUAAAUCAUGAAAUCUCUUCUAACAUGAUUUGCAACAAUAAAUUACCAAAUAAUGAUAAUAAUUCCCUUUUGGAAAAACUUCCAAAUUUGGCAGCAUCGCCGUUUCAUUAUUAUAAAAGAAAUUUGGACCAAUUGAAUGAAUAAAAUGGAAGCAGGUAAUUAUAGAUACUUUAUAAUUACAAACCCUCCUUUUUUAGGUAACAUAUAAUUAAACCUUGGUGCUGAUAAAUAUAUAUUCCACUACAGUCUUUUAUUACACACCCUGCAUCUUCUUACAUUUGUUGUGCAGGCAGCUCACAGCAACCAACUAAAAGCAAUUGUAUUCAUUUCAUAUAUUAGUCCCUCAGGCCUGUUUGGCUGCAAGACCUCAAUAAUAGUGUAACACUAAAGGAUUAUUUUUUAGCAUCACUGGUGAGAUGCAUAAUGACAGGAACAUGAGCAUAAUAUGGAAGUUCCAAUAUUACACUUUCAUUGCAGAGCCAAUUUUCAUGAUCCAACAACUUUGUGCUCCAUUGUCUUUGGGUGACAGAAGCCACAGAUAUAAAGUAAGUGUUGUAGAAACACCACAAUUUAGCACAACAGCAAUAGUUAUUAUUUCGAGAUCAUGGAUGGCAUUUUUAUUUCAUGUUAUAUACAUCUUGAGUUGAUGUAAUUUGACUAAAAAUGAUAUUACCGUAUUUGCAUUCACCUUUUAAUAACAGACAAUGCAGUGCAUGCAUUUUCAACUCAAGUCAGAGAAUAACUUGUUUGAUAUAUUUUCAUGUCUUGCAACAAUCGUGCUGACUGCUCCCCCCUCAAUCGCAUUCAAGUCACCAAAAUGACCGCUCCAAAAAUGGCAUGUUGGUUUUUCGAUCUGGAACUUUAAUAUUUGAUUAAGUUUCUGCUGAACAACAUGUUCAGGGCUAUAUUGAACAAUGAAUUAUUUUAAUUUGCCGUGGGUUUGUCCCAACAAGCAAUAUAUUGUGUAGCAUUUCAGCUCAGUAAUGCAUUGCAUGCAUUAUUUUUUCAGAGAGAGAGCAACUGCAUUAGUUCACUUUACCCUCUUGAAUUUCAUAGAUACAUUUGUGUUCAUGUACUUUGUGUCAUACCCGUCUACUGUUAAUAAACCCUCUAAAAUUCUAAGAACCAAAAGAGUUCCCACAUCUAAUCCGUUGCUCGAAAUAGCCAAGCUCCAAAGGCAGGGAUGCCGGCAGAACUUGCUUGUUUUGUUCCACGACAUUCACCAAACAAAAGCUGGAAAAAUAAGCCCGUCUUCCUUAACGGGGGAAACAAAAAAUUAGGAAAUCUUCCAAGAGGUGCCAGAAGGAUCUGUCUCUCGUUCCCUUCCAGCUCCCUGCUGUGACUUGGAGGGGGUUUUCUGGGGAAAACAACGGUGCUGUCAAGAGCUAGUGCAGUGAGUGCUACAGGCCAAAUAGAGGAGGAAGCGUCACUUAAUGUAAGGGCAGGGAUUAGAGAGACUGAUUAUGCCUCUGAGGGGAGAGCAGAACAAAGUAAAUGAGUGAGAGUAAAUUUGACUGUGUGCAUGCAUUUCCAAUAGGCCUCCUUGGGUUUGCUACACACUCAUACAUGAUAGUAUAUCAUAGUGUAAAAGUGAAUAAAACGUUUUUUGCUCCCAAAUGUUCACAUUCCUACAUAUAAAUAUAUCACCCAACACCAUGGCAAUAUCAAAACCAAGUUCUGACAAAACAUUUUUAGGUUGACAAAUGUUGAAUUCAUUACAACUUGACUAAAACAACUCAAAAAUAAAUAGAGAUUUAUUUAGCAACAUAUAUAUGAAUGUAUGUUUAAUAGGUGUAUAGAGAUCCCCUUUAAACAAUCUAUUCAAAGCAAAUAAAUGUUGCCAGGAAUAAAUGACCAGCAAAAUGUCUUGCUGCCACUGAUAUGCCUAAAUGGUGCCUCAGGGGGAAAUGUCAUUUUGAUGUGCGGUCAAAAUUUUUAAACCAAAAAACACAAUUGGAAAUUAAUCAAAUGUUUUAUUAAAAAACACAAUUUCUCAAAUACAAGAAGUGUUCCAGGUUCCAUAUUGUUACAUGCCAGACGGGGACUGUCUGCAUGUGUUCUUGUCUUGUCUCCCUCCUGCUCAUUUGUUUCUCUCCCCCAGUGAUUACGCUGAUUGGCCAACUCCAAACACAGGUGGAAAGCAAUCAGCAGUUCCGGUGGCAGUCCAUAAAGGAAGACUCCUGAGAAGUGAAAAGGGGGUGUGUUCUGCGCUGCGGGCUGGUGGCCAGCCUCCUGUCCGUGAGCUUUAGCUGUCUAGUAGCAAAACUGGAGUUUUGUAAGGUGGAGGUUGUGGACCUUAGUAAGUUGGGGUACCCUGUACAUUUUUGCACGUAGGUAUACCUUUGUAUAGAUACACCAGGUGUAGUGGUUGUUGCCUCCUGUGUAACGUUUUCCUUUUGUCCUUUUUUUAGAGAAGCAGGUAAGGUAUUUUGUUUGACUUGUUUUGGAUGGUGAGCUAG